rnacentral:tRNA from 1 species
AAUCUUAUAUUCAAAAAAAAAUAAAUGAUUUUAAAUUGCAAAUUUAAAGGUAUUAAAAUUAAUUAAGAUUU